AUGGAACCGUUCCUGGGAGUUGUUGUGAUUUUGUGUCUUCCAGUGGGCUGGGUGAGCAGCCAAAAGAUGGAACAGAAUCCUCCGUCCCUGAGCAUCCAGGAGGGUGAAAAGGCUGUUCUGACCUGUAACUAUACAAAUUAUUCUCCAGAAUACUUACACUGGUACCGACAAGAUCCGGUACGAGGCCUCGUCUUCUUGGUACUAAUACCUGAAAAUAAGGGUGAGAAGCAGGCAGGAAGACUGAGGUUCACCUUUAACACCACCAUCAAAAGGAGCACCUUGCAGAUCCCAGCCUCCCAGCUUGAAGACUCAGCCACCUACUUCUGUGCUGUAGACGCACAGCAGGGCCCUGCCACCAGCUUCCUGCACACAAACCCUCACAGCCCAUGGAGCUACAGGCUGUCUCCCUUAACCUCAGCUCCUGGAAAAAUAAAGUGGGGGCCAUCUGAAAGGAACAAAGGGGUGUAA